rnacentral:rRNA from 1 species
UCCGGAGGAUGCAAGCGUUAUCCGGAUUUAUUGGGCGUAAAGGGUCCGCAGGUGGUUGUUCAAGUCUGCUGUCAAAGCGCGGAGCUUAACUCCGUAUCGGCGGUGGAAACUGAGGAACUAGAGUCUGGUAGGGGUUGCGGGAAUUCCCAGUGUAGCGGUGAAAUGCGUAGAUAUUGGGAAGAACACCGGCGGCGAAAGCGCGCAACUGGACCAGAACUGACACUGAGGGACGAAAGCUAGGGGAGAGAAAGGG